rnacentral:SRP_RNA from 1 species
UCGUGCUAGACGGGGAACUAGCGGUGCCCUGGACCCGCAAUCCGCUAUAGCGGGGUUGAAUUCCUGCCCGCGGUCUGGCCGUUUG